GACGGAGGAUGCAAGUGUUAUCCGGAAUCACUGGGCGUAAAGCGUCUGUAGGUGGUCAAAUAAGUCAACUGUUAAAUCUUGAGGCUCAACCUCAAAACCGCAGUCGAAACUAUUAGACUAGAGUAUAGUAGGGGUAAAGGGAAUUUCCAGUGGAGCGGUGAAGUGCGUAGAGAUUGGAAAGAACACCGAUGGCGAAGGCACUUUACUGGGCUAUGACUAACACUCAGAGACGAAAGCUAGGGUAGCAAAUGGG
rnacentral:rRNA from 1 species